rnacentral:sRNA from 1 species
ACACCCGCGUCCGCACACUAAGGGCACCACCGCUCUCCCACCUCUGCGCUGUCAGAUGUCAGGCGCGGAGGUGCUCUGGGCACCGAGGUGCUGGCGAACCAAACAAGUGUCACCCUGGACGUCUGCCCCCACUCCGAGAGAGCGGGCGGGACGGCCACAGGCUUGAUUGCUGUAAGUUGAACACGUCAGUGGCAGGGGCACCAGCUGCACAACCCUAGGAGCCACCAAACACAGUGUAUUCUAUAUAAAUGUUGCUGCCAGGAACCCCAGUUCAAACUACAAUACACUGAGAGAUGGUUGGUACCAUGUGGAAGGUGAUUGUUUCGCUAGUCCUGUUGAUGCCUGGCCCCUGUGAUGGGCUAUUUCGCUCCCUAUACAGAAGUGUUUCCAUGCCACCUAAUGGAGACUCAGGACAGCCAUUAUUUCUCACCCCUUACAUUGAAGCUGGGAAGAAGAGAAUUGAGUUUGGUCAGUCCUUUCCUAGGACUGAACAUGAGGAGUUAUGCCGGCUUCCUCACCGUGAAUAAGACUUACAACAGCAACCUCUUCUUCUGGUUCUUCCCGGCUCAGAUACAGCCAGAAGAUGCCCCAGUAGUUCUCUGGCUACAAGGUGGGCCGGGAGUUUCAUCCAUGUUUGGACUCUUUGUGGAACAUGGGCCUUAUGUUGUCACAAGUAACAUGACCU